UAAGAAUUAACUAAAUACGCUAUUUAGAGUUAUUAUUGUAAACUUAUUUAUAAAGGUAGCUAUGUAAUUACAGUAAUCUGAUGUUUCUAUCAAUGGUAAAAACGAACCUGCGUUAGUAUUCAACUGCGGUUCAGUAAUCAGUGCGAUACCACACAGUUCAGAAGUAUAAUGUAAAGUGUAAAAGCUAAAGACAAUAUAUCGGCGAAGUUACCAAUUAAAAUCGAAGAGAAUGGUUUAGACAAACGUCCAAAAUUCGUCUUUGAAAUUUUUAAGAAACAUCUCCAAUUACAACCUGAUGAAGUCAAGAUUUAAGUCAUAUGUUUCAAAAAAUGUCUUCUUCUUUUUUUAAUGUAUUGUUGUUAUGCUCACGUAAUGUAAUCAAUCUUUUCAUAAAAUUCAUAUUUAUUUCAAGAACGUUGAUCACAUGUUAAAUGUUUUUGUGUUUAUGUAAUGGACACAGAUUUUAUGCAUUAUUUUAAACUAAAUGUUAUUUUUUUAU